UGGGGAAUUUUGCACAAUGGGGGAAACCCUGAUGCAGCGACGCCGCGUGAUUUAGAAGGCCUUCGGGUUGUAAAAAUCUUUUCUAUGGGAAGAAAAUGACAGUACCAUAGGAAUAAGGACCGGCUAAUUACGUGCCAGCAGCCGCGGUAAUACGUAAGGGCCGAGCGUUGUCCGGAAUCAUUGGGCGUAAAGGGUACGUAGGCGGGUAAGCAAGUUAGAAGUGAAAUCCUAUAGCUCAACUAUAGUAAGCUUUUAAAACUGCUCAUCUUGAGGUAGGGAGGGGAAGGUGGAAUUGCUAGUGUAGCGGUGAAAGGCGCAGAUAUUAGGAGGAAUACCGGUGGCGAAGGCGACUUUCUGGCCAUAACCUGACGCUGAGGUACGAAAGCGUGGGUAGCGAACAGG
rnacentral:rRNA from 1 species